UAAUGCUCCAUAGUGGAUAUGUCCUGGAAUGGUAUAUCCUCGAAAGAUCCGUCGCCUUAGGAUGGGACUGCGUCCGAUUAGGUUGUUGGCGGGGUAACGGCCCACCAAGCCAUUGAUCGGUACGGGUUGUGGGAGCAAGAUCCCGGAGAUGGAUUCUGAGACAUGAAUCCAGGCCCUACGGGGCGCAGCAGGCGCGCAAACUUUACAAUGCGAGCAGUCGUGAUAAGGAAACCCUGAGUGCCUGUCGAUGCAGGCUGUUCAUAUAUCUAAAUCAUAUGUGAAGAAAGGGCAGGGCAAGACCGGUGCCAGCCGCCGCGGUAAUACCGGCUGCUCGAGUGAUGGCCACUAUUACUGGGUUUAAAGCGUCCGUAGCUUGACUGUUAGGUCUCUUGGGAAAUCUUCACGCUCAACGUGAAGGCGUCUAAGAGAUACCGGCAGUCUUGGAACUGGGAGAGGUAAACCGUACUUCGGGGGUAGGAGUGAAAUCUUGUAAUCCUCGAGGGACGACCUAUGGCGAAGGCAGUUUACCAGAACAGCUUCGACAGUGAGGGACGAAAGCUGGGGGAGCAAACGGGAUUAGAUACCCCGGUAGUCCCAGCCGUAAACAAUGUGCGUUAGGUGU
rnacentral:rRNA from 1 species